ensembl:snoRNA SNORA73 Small nucleolar RNA SNORA73 family
CCAACGUGGAUACACCCGGGAGGUCACUCUCCCCGGGCUCUGUCCAAGUGGCACAGGGGAGCAUAGGGCUCUGCCCCAUGAUGUACAGUCCCUUUCCACAACGUUGGAGAUGAAGCUGGGCCUUGAGUCUGCGCCUGCAUAUUCCUACAGCUUCCCAGAGUCCUCUGGACAAUGACUGGGGAGACAAACCAUGCAGGAAACAGCC